ensembl:lncRNA
UCAGAAUUCCUUGGGGUGCAGGAGGGAUUGGUCAGAAUUCCUUUGGGAGCUGUCCGUCUUGGUCAAGAGUAUCUGAUGGAGCAGAAGAGAUUGGUCAGAAUUCCUUUAGAAGUGGGGGAGAUGGGUCAGACUUCCAUCAGGAACAGGUGGGAUUAAAAACACCUCUCAGCCACCAGGACGUUCGUAGUCAUCUCGCAUAUCCUUGUUAAAUGAAAAUUCUAUCGUUAAUUAGGAAGCGCUUGCACCAUUAAUGAUUCAAGUCACAAAGUAAUUGCACGCUGUAACUCUAUAUCCGCUGUAAUAUGUCACCUUGUGCAGGCUGAGCAGAUAAUGCACUAAAAUAUUCACGUUCAGUAGAAUAGUGAGGUUUGCAUUUGCAGCACAAAGGCCAUGGAUUGUUUAACUAAAUUGUUUCAUCAAGAUGAUAAACAGCAGGAGUUGUGAAGUGUACGGCUGUAGUACACCAGCGAGUACUGGAGUGUGAAGUGUACGGCUGUAGUACACCAGCGAGUACUGGAGUGUGAAGUGUACGGCUGUAGUACACCAGUGAGUACUGGAGUUGUGAAGUGUACGGCUGUAGUACACCAGCGAGUACUGGAGUGUGAAGUGUACGGCUGUAGUACACCAGCGAGUACUGGAGUGUGAAGUGUACGGCUGUAGUACACCAGCGAGUACUGGUUGCGUUGUCAUUAGUGCGGUCAGCUGUAAGUGUGUGUAGGUGUGAACUAGAC